rnacentral:rRNA from 1 species
UACAGAGGUCUCAAGCGUUGUUCGGAAUUACUGGGCGUAAAGGGUGCGCAGGCCGCGCGGGCAGUCAAAUGUGUAAUCCAGGGGCUCAACCCCUGAACUGCGCUUGAUACUUCCGCGCUCGAGCUUUGGAGAGGAGUCUGGAAUUCUCGGUGUAGCAGUGAAAUGCGUAGAUAUCGGGAGGAACACCUGUGGCGAAAGCGGCUCACUGGACCACAACUGACGCUGAGGCGCGAAAGCUAGGGGAGCAACAGG